rnacentral:rRNA from 1 species
GACGAACGCUGGCGGCGUGCUUAACACAUGCAAGUCGAGCGGAGCGGCGAACGGGUGAGUAACGCGUGAGUAACUGCCCCCCUCUCUGGGAUGACAGUUGGAAACGGCUGCUAAUACCGGAUAGUGGGGGAUGACUCGCGGCCUAUCAGCGUGUUGGUGGGGUAGUGGCCUACCAAGGCGACGAAGGGUAGCCGGCCUGAGAGGGCGAACGGCCCCAUUGGGCUGAGAUAGGGACCAAAGUCCGACGGGAGGCAGCAGGGGGGAAUAUUGCGCAAUGGGGGAAACCCUGAUGCAGCAACGCGGGGGCGGGAUGACGGCCUGCGGGUUGUAAACCGCUUUAAGCCAUGACGCGGUAGUGGCAGAAGAAGCACCGGCUAACUACGUGCCAGCAGCCGCGGUAAUAC